GAGCCUUUUGCUGGAAUUUGCUCCAAAAGAGACAUUUUUAUUUGCUUUUGUUUCCCUUUAAAUAAGGUUAUAGCAUUUUUUUCUUUUGGUCCCCUAAUUGAAGACCAGAAGCCCCCACACAAGAUGAAGCAAAGAAAAGGGGUUAUCUCUAGCAAACCCUUCCCCCGAUGCUUAGGGAAGACAUUUCGACGGGAUCAUCAUUUGCACAAAAGACUAGAAAUUUGUAAUUGUGGAUAACAAUUUGCAGAUAGAACUGGGCCUUCUCACCCUUACCUCCUGCUCUGAAAAGGGCAGUAUCAGUAUUUUAACCUGGCCUUGCAAGGGUCUUCCUGUGCAGCCCCAAGAAGGCCUCAGGGAGGUGAUGUGUGUCUACCGUCACCAGAGAUUCCCCAGAUGAAACAAUGGGACCAGAACAAGAAUUCACCUGUCAAGCUAAUUCAGAUUGGCAAGCCGGAAUCUCUCGGCUGCUUUCCCAAGGUGGC